rnacentral:rRNA from 1 species
ACCCAGACUCCUACGGGAGGCAGCAGUGGGGAAUAUUGGGCAAUGGGCGCAAGCCUGACCCAGCAACGCCGCGUGAAGGAAGAAGGCUUUCGGGUUGUAAACUUCUUUUGUCAGGGACGAAGCAAGUGACGGUACCUGACGAAUAGGCCACGGCUAACUACGUGCCAGCAGCCGCGGUAAUACGUAGGCGGCAAGCGUUAUCCGGAAUUACUGGGUGUAAAGGGUGUGUAGGCGGGGCUGCAAGUCAGAUGUGAAAAUUAUGGGCUCAACCCCUAACCUGCGUCUGAAACUGUAGCUCUUGAGAGUGGGAGAGGUAAGCGGAAUUCCCGGUGUAGCGUUGAAAUGCGUAGAUAUCGGGAGGAACACCAGUGGCGAAGGCGGUUUACUGGACCACAACUGACGCUGAGCCACGAAAGCGUGGGGAGCAACCAGGAUUAGAUACCCCAGUAAC